CCUACGGGAGGCAGCAGUGGGGGAUAUUGGACAAUGGGCGCAAGUCUGACCCAGCAACGCCGCGUGAAGGAAGAAGGCUUUCGGGUUGUAAACUUCUUUUAAGGGGGAAGAGCAGAAGACGGUACCCCUUGAAUAAGCCACGGCUAACUACGUGCGCGCAGCCGCGGUAAUACGUAGGUGGCAAGCGUUGUCCGGAUUUACUGGGUGUAGAGGGCGUGCAGCCGGAGAGGCAAGUCAGAUGUGAAAUCCACGGGCUCAACCCGGGAACUGCAUUUGAAACUGUUUCCCUUGAGUGGCGGAGAGGCAAGCGGAAUUCCUUGUGUAGCGGUGAAAUGCGUAGAUAUCAGGAAGAACACCAGUGGCGAAGGCGGAUUACUGGACGACAACUGACGGUGAGGCGCGAAAGCGUGGGGAGCAAACAGGAUUAGAUACCCGUGUAGUC
rnacentral:rRNA from 1 species